GCCCCUGCAUAUUUAAAUAGUGAUAACCUUUCUUAAAUUUAUUCACGUCUUGUCUUUUCCCUCUUCCCUAGUGACUGAUUUCCCGCUUACCUCCCUGUAACCACCACCACCUAUCUUGUCUAGUAUUUGGUUGCCGCAGGUAGGAUUAAGAUUAUUCUAAUGGGACUGCAAAAAGAAAGAGGAAUAUGACACUCAGUUUUUAACAUUAUGCAUAGGAUUUUGUUGCGUCUACAGCAAGUUAGUCUUUGUUGAAAAAAAUUCUUUUAAUUCCUUUGAAUUCUUGUUAACCUAUUCAGAAUCAAGCUUAGAAGGUAUUUAUUUCUUCCAGAGGCAGACCCCCAAUUCUGUCAAAAAGGCUGAGCCAUGAGGCUUAGCAUUCCUCAAGAAGAGAUGUCUUUGCAAGUCAGAAAGAGGAAGAGGACAUUUCCCCUUUAACUCAGGAGAAGCAUCAUGGAAAGGGAAGGACUUUUGGGGUCAGAAUUUCAACACUUACGAAGACUACAACUUGCUUUUGUUGCCUUCUUUACCUUCUCUGAGAAUAACUACACCUGAACUAUAGAAGAUUAGCCCUGAGCUAACACCUGCCACCAAUCCUCCUC